GCUGCUUGCCUAGUAUCUUCCUACUUUCCCAGAGGAUUAUCGUGUUGGCCACUAGAGCAGCUCUGUGGUGUUUCUGUGGGCAUCCAGCAGCUCCUCUGGUUGCUUUUCCAUGGAUUAAUAAUUUCAGAUGCAUGCCUUGUCAGGACUCAUCCUGCAGGAGAAAGAUUGGACUAGAUGAUACCUGAUGUCCCUUCCAACCUGUGAUUAAUUCUGUGAUGCUGUGAAAUAUUCUUUGAAAAGGUUUAAACUGGAAACUCUGGAAAGGGAGGAAGAGCAUCACUUGAAUUUUUGCUGAGCCCUGAUGUUUCAGCAAACAUAAUCACAUGUUGUCAUCUACAACACUUCCUCUCAUGUAAUACUCUCUGAUAACAUUAAUGUCAAGCCUGAUAUUCGGCUGUGGCCCCAGUGCUGCCCUAGGACAGGAGGAUGGCUGACACUGCAACAGGUGUUUCUACUGACAGGAGUGAAGGCUGAUCUGCAAGCCUGGCUAUGUCUGCUGCUGCCUGGGAGAAGGACAGGACAACAUGCUGGUAAAAGGGGCAAAUACCCUGCAAUAAACAAGAUUUGCUUUACUGUACAUGUGAUGUCUGGAAUUGGCUCACAAACAUUGCCCUUAGCAAAUACUUCUGUUUCCCCUGGCAUGCUCCGUGUUAUGUGGAACAGUGAUUGAACUGCCUGGUUCCUGUGAAGAGAAAGCCCUGCUCUGACCAGCUUCCCUACACCACACCUACUCUCUGUCUAGAAAGAACUCAUAAAACUGGAGUAGACAGACCCAAGAGCAGGGCUGAUCUGAAGAUGAUUUUGUAACAAGACCAGUCCUGACCAGUAAUAGUGAAAAUGUAGAUAUGACAGUGUCUGCCCACACGGGAGAGAUUACAGACCUGAACAGGAGGAUUUGGCUUAACAGUUGGUACAGAGGGUCAAAGCAGGUUACAGGUACAAUGGAGUGGCCCCAGCCCUGCUGCUGAAAUAUGACUGGUAUAUCUGAAGUAUAAAGCUAGGCUUUUAUUUUUUGCUUCCAGACGAUAGGCAAAGCUGUGGUUGCACUUUUCUGUCCUGUUCUUUCCCUUGUAUAAAAACACAGGGAGCAUUGCCAAUCUUCUCCUGAUCGUGUUCUUGUUCCCUUAAAUAAAAAAAAAACAAAUCUCUGUUUCCAUGGUCCCAUGGAGUCUGAGGACAUAUGAGUAUAGGAGGACUGGAGCACAACUAGAAGUAGGAACAUGCCUUUGAGCUGAAAGAUCUAGCCACAGUUUUCUUUAUUUUAGAAGGAAAAACAUAACAAAUAAA